UACAAAGGGUGCAAGCGUUGUCCGGAAUCACUGGGCGUAAAGGGCGCGUAGGCGGCCUGAUAAGUAGGGGGUGAAAUCCUGGGGCUUAACCUCAGGGCUGCCUUCUAGACUGUCCGGCUCGAGCACAGUAGAGGCAGGUGGAAUUCCCGGUGUAGCGGUGGAAUGCGUAGAGAUCGGGAAGAACAUCGGUGGCGAAGGCGGCCUGCUGGGCUGUUGCUGACGCUGAGGCGCGACAGCGUGGGGAGCAAACAGG
rnacentral:rRNA from 1 species